rnacentral:tRNA from 1 species
GGAGGAGUCGCAUAGUGGCCUAGUGCAGCGGUUUACUAAACCGCCAAAUCGCAAGAUUUCGAGAGUUCGAAUCUCUCCUCCUCCG